rnacentral:tRNA from 1 species
GUUCGGCUACCUCAGUCGGUAGGGCAUGAGACUCUUAAUCUCAGGGUCGUGGGUUAGAGCCCCACGUUGGGUG